ensembl:misc_RNA Metazoa_SRP Metazoan signal recognition particle RNA
GCUGGGUGUGGUGGCGCACGCCUGUAAUCCCAGCUACUCCGGAGGCUGAGACAGGAGAAUCGCUUGAACCCAGGAGGCAGAGGUUGCAGUGAACCGAGGUCGCACCACUGCACACCAGCCUGGGAAACAGAGCAAGACUCUGUCUCAA